UAGGGACUACCCCGCUGAACUUAAGCAUAUUCAAUAAACCGGAGGGAAA
rnacentral:rRNA from 1 species